GUCCAGCUGGAGAGUCCCAAACAGAACGAAAGGCGCGUCCUGAAU
rnacentral:hammerhead_ribozyme from 1 species